UACAGAGGUCCCAAGCGUUGUUCGGAAUCACUGGGCGUAAAGGGCGCGUAGGCGGAUCUUUAAGUCGGGGGUGAAAGCCUGUGGCUCAACCACAGAAUUGCCUUCGAUACUGGGGAUCUCGAGACCGGAAGAGGUGAGUGGAACUGCGAGUGUAGAGGUGAAAUUCGUAGAUAUUCGCAAGAACACCAGUGGCGAAGGCGGCUCACUGGUCCGGUUCUGACGCUGAGGCGCGAAAGUGUGGGGAGCAAACAGG
rnacentral:rRNA from 1 species